CGGACGGGUGAGUAACACGUGGAUAACCUACCUAUAAGACUGGGAUAACUUCGGGAAACCGGAGCUAAUACCGGAUAAUAUAUUGAACCGCAUGGUUCAAUAGUGAAAGACGGUUUUGCUGUCACUUAUAGAUGGAUCCGCGCCGCAUUAGCUAGUUGGUAAGGUAACGGCUUACCAAGGCAACGAUGCGUAGCCGACCUGAGAGGGUGAUCGGCCACACUGGAACUGAGACACGGUCCAGACUCCUACGGGAGGCAGCAGCC
rnacentral:rRNA from 1 species